GUGUGUAGUGGAGAAUGGAUUCAACAGCAGGAUCACACUCAUCUACGGCAGCAAGAACAAUGAUUUGGUCAUGGGGAGCCUCAAGCCUAUCCCAGGGAACUCAGAGCACAAGGUGUGCGACACCGUGGAUGGGGUGCCAACCCAUUGAAGGGAACAAUCACACAUCCUUUCAUACAUUAUGGACAAUUUGGAAAUGCCAGUCAGCCUACAGCACAUGUCUUUGGACUGGGGCAGGAAACCGGAGUACCACGAGGAAAUCUCCAAGGCACAGGGAGAACAUGCAAACUAUAUUAUUAUAGGGUGGAGGUGGGAUUCAAACCUCCAAUCCAAAAUUUACAAAAAAAAAUUAUAUGUUUUUUUAUUUUAAUACAGUACAGUUACUUUUCCUUUGGUUAAUUAAAAUGCUGAAUGGUCAUGGUUUACAUAGUUGACAGUCAUGGGUCUGCAUCAAGAUAUUAUUAGUAAGUCAUUUUUUUUAGUAAGUCAUUUACCACUUUAACCAGCACUGUCUCUGUGCUAUGAUGAGGUCUAAAUCCUGACUGAUACAUUUCAUGAUUGUUAUUCCUAUGUAGGUAUGAGCAUAGCUGCUGUGCUACAAGCUUUUCUAUGAUCUUGGAGAUAACACAAAGAUUUGAUAUUGACCUACAGCUGGACAAUUGACAGGGGUCGAGGUCAGGUUUUUUAAUUAGGGGUUUAAUAACUGCUAGUUUAAAUGAUUUAGGUACAUAGCCAGUGCUAAGGAAAGAAUUUAUUUUUAGAAGGGGUUUGAUUAAUUCUAGAAUAAUCUGUUCGAAGAAACAUGUCUAUUUCUAUUUCUAGUCUAAGAUCUAUUUAAGUGUUUAUUUGAUUAAACAGGGUUUGCAGUAAUCAGGCCUGGUUGCUUCUAGUCCAGCUGAACCCCAUUAUGAAUGCAAUUUUAUAGAUUUGGGGAAUUAAGUAAAUUUGGGGUAUUAAGUAAAUACGGGGGCAAAUACAUUUUCACACCUGCCCAGUUGGUAUUGGAUAACCUUUUUGCUUCAUUGAAUAACAUUAUCAUUAAAAAACUGUAUUUUGUGUUUGGUUGGGUUGCCUUUGUUUUAUCUUAGAUUUUGUUUUAAUUACUGAAACAAUUUAGUUCGAGAUAUACACAAAAACAGAAGAAAUCAGAAUGCUUUUUCACAGCACUGUACAUUAAAUUAUUUUAGUGACAGAUAUACUACUGACAAUAGCAAUAAUAUUACACUAUGUACUGCAAAUACUUUAACCUCUAUUUCACCCUAGUAUUAUAUCUGCUUCUACACAACCCAUUUAGUUUUUGGAAACCUUUGGAAUUGAAGGAAGCUCUCGACUCUGUUAAGGUUCAAGC
ensembl:lncRNA